rnacentral:rRNA from 1 species
UUGCACGCUGGCGGCAUGCUUUACCCCUGCCAGUCGAACGGUAACAGGCCUUCGGGUGCUGACGAGUGGCGAACGGGUGAGUAAUGCAUCGGAACGUGCCCAGAGGUGGGGGAUAACGCAGCGAAAGCUGUGCUAAUACCGCAUGUGAUCUGAGGAUGAAAGCGGGGGACCAGGCAGCAAUGUUUGGCCUCGCGCCUUUGGAGCGGCCGAUGUCAGAUUAGGUAGUUGGUGGGGUAAAGGCCUACCAAGCCGACGAUCUGUAGCUGGUCUGAGAGGACGAACAGCCACACUGGGACUGAGACACGGCCCAGACUCCUACGGGAGGCAGCAGUGGGGAAUUUUGGACAAUGGGCGCAAGCCUGAUCCAGCAAUGCCGCGUGCGGGAAGAAGGCCUUCGGGUUGUAAACCGCUUUUGUACGGAACGAAAAGGCUCUGGCUAAUACCUGGGGCUGAUGACGGUACCGUAAGAAUAAGCACCGGCUAACUACGUG